AAAGAUAGAGGUUGCGUUUUCCAUCAGUACCUUUUCGGAUAUGGCAGGCAUAGACGAAGAAGAGGGAAAGGGGGCGACGCCGAAAGAGAUUGUUUCCUGUGAGUAGUUUCUUGGGCAUACCGUGAAGAACGAUAUGACUGUCAUCAGUUUCUGAUGGGGCGCUAUCCGG
rnacentral:ncRNA from 1 species